rnacentral:rRNA from 1 species
CAAUAGCGUAUAUUAAAGUUGUUGCGGUUAAAAGCUCGUAGUUGGAUUUCUGCCGAGGACGACCGGUCCGCCCUCUGGGUGAGUAUCUGGUUCGGCCUGGGCAUCUUCUUGGAGAACGUAUCUGCACUUGACUGUGUGGUGCGGUAUCCAGGACUUUUACUUUGAGGAAAUUAGAGUGUUUCAAGCAGGCACACGCCUUGAAUAUAUUAGCAUGGAAUAAUGAUAUAGGAUCUUGGUUCUAUUUUGUUGGUUUCUAGAGCUAAGAUAAUGAUUAAUAGGGACAAUUGGGGGCAUUCGUAUUAACGCGUCAGAGGUGAAAUUCUUGGAUUGCGUUACGACGAACUACUGCGAAAGCAUUUGCCAAGGAUGUUUUCAUUGAUCAAGAACGAAAGUAAGGGGAUCGAAGACGAUCAGAUACCAU